rnacentral:rRNA from 1 species
CAGAGGUCCCGAGCGUUGUUCGGAUUCACUGGGCGUAAAGGGUGCGUAGGUGGCAUGGCCAGUUUGAUGUGAAAGCUCAGGGCUUAACCCUGAAAUGGCAUUGAAUACUGCUGUGCUGGAGGUUUGGAGGGGGGACUGGAAUUCUUGGUGUAGCAGUGAAAUGCGUAGAUAUCAAGAGGAACACCAGUGGCGAAGGCGAGUCCCUGGACAACACCUGACACUGAGGCACGAAAGCCGGGGGAGCAAACAGGAUUAGAUACCCUGGUAGUCCCGGCCCUAAACGGUGCGUGUUUGCUGUAAGAGGAAUCGACCCCUUUUGUGGCGAAGCUAACGCGUUAAACACGCCGCCUGGGGAGUACGGUCGCAAGAUUA